ACGGAGGGUGCGAGCGUUGUUCGGAAUCACUGGGCGUAAAGGGCGUGUAGGCGGUCCGCUAAGUCUGAUGUGAAAGCCCGGGGCUCACCCCCGGAAGUGCAUUGGAAACUGGCGGACUCGAGUCCCGGAGAGGAGAGUGGAAUUCCUGGUGUAGCGGUGAAAUGCGUAGAUAUCAGGAGGAACACCGGUGGCGAAGGCGGCCUGCUGGGCAGUGGCUGACGCUGAGGCGCGACAGCGUGGGGAGCAAACAGGA
rnacentral:rRNA from 1 species